AUUUUGCUAUUUCACCUAAAAUUGAAAAAUCUCUAGAAUUUAUACAAAGAAUUUUUUUACAAAUAAAUCCACAAAGAGGAGCAAAAAGUGCAUCAAAAGCUCGUCGAUAUAAUAAAUCAUUUGAUGUGCGAGUAUUUAAACUUGCCAAAGAACUUUCGGCUUUUUCUGACCAAUUCAAUUUAACCCAGUGAUACUUAUGGUAAAUAUACUUAUAUAAUGUGAUAUACACUAUUAGAAAUACGUAAUGAUAUUGUUAUAUUGGAUAAUAAAGACAGUUUGUAAUUCAUU
rnacentral:lncRNA from 13 species